rnacentral:rRNA from 1 species
UACGGAGGGUGCAAGCGUUAUCCGGAUUCACUGGGUUUAAAGGGUGCGUAGGCGGCUUCUUAAGUCAGGGGUGAAAUCCUGGAGCUCAACUCCAGAACUGCCUUUGAUACUGAGGAGCUCGAGUCCGGGAGAGGUGAGUGGAACUCCGAGUGUAGAGGUGAAAUUCGUAGAUAUUCGGAAGAACACCAGUGGCGAAGGCGGCUCACUGGCCCGGUACUGACGCUGAGGUGCGAAAGCGUGGGGAGCAAACAGG